GACGAACCGUGCGAACGUUGUUCGGAUUCACUGGGCUUAAAGGGCGCGUAGGCGGAUUGCUAAGUCAGGGGUGAAAUCCUGGAGCUCAACUCCAGAACUGCCUUUGAUACUGGCGAUCUCGAGUCCGGGAGAGGUGAGUGGAACUGCGAGUGUAGAGGUGAAAUUCGUAGAUAUUCGCAAGAACACCAGUGGCGAAGGCGGCUCACUGGCCCGGUACUGACGCUGAGGUGCGAAAGCGUGGGGAGCAAACAGG
rnacentral:rRNA from 1 species